rnacentral:lncRNA from 1 species
AAAUAAACCCAUACGGCCUAUUUAUGAAGGAGGAGGAAGAAGAAGAAUACAAGCUAUUUUACAUGUUAAAUCUUAAUGAUUUGUUUUAUUUUUAAUUAUAUGCCUAUUUGUGUAAUCACAUGUGUGUACAAUUGUCUGUGGAGUCCAGAAGAGGGCAUCUGAUGCCCUGGAGUUACAGGCAGCUGCAGGCUACCAUGUGGAUACUGAAAGCCAAACUCCUAUCUUCUGCGAGUGCAGUAGGCACUCCAUCCACAGAAGCCUCUCCAGCUCCCAGCGUACACCUUUAAAAUGCAUGUUGUCCUCAUGAGGGUUAGGUUAUCAGUCCUGUACUUUGAUGUUUGUUGGAAAAUAGUUAAUUUAAAUAGAACUUGUCUAGUGUGCUAAUAAUUGUAUAUAGUAGAUUUAAAAUUAGCUCAGUGAAUAUUUUCCAGAUAAUAAAAGAUAGAAUUAUCAUCCACUUGGUAAAAAAUUAAAAAAUCAUAUAAUAUCAUUUUGAUAGAAACAAAUGGCUAAGAGGACUUGUUUUCUUGCUGAGGACCCAGGUUUGACUCUAGCACCCACACAGGAGCUCACAACCAUCUAUAACCCGACCUCCAGGAGAUCUGAUGCCUUCUCUGAACUCCAUGGGCAGUAGGCAAGUGUGUGGUGUAUAGAUGCAGAUAGAAUUGUCAUAUACGUAAAAUAAAAUGAAAUUAAUAUAAAAAAUUUUAAUCAUUUUUAUAAAAACCUGAGUAGCUUUUUGUAAUUUCUAUGUGCGGCUCUAUAAAAAAAUAUAAGUAUAAUAUAUAAAUAUUACACUUAGUAACCUCUGUUGAUCAAAGUUUUAAAAUUAAAUUCAUACUAAAACAUUUUUUCUAAUUGCACUUAUUAUUUCUAUUAGAGAGAAAUAGAUUAACACUAAUUUGUAAUUUAAAUGAUUAAGAGCAUGAUUUUCAGUUACUAUAAAAAGAAAUCUAAAACCUUUACAACACAUUGAGUAUUUUAUCUUGUUUAGAGAUAUUUUAUUCUCCAUUUAAACUAGAAUAUGCCUAGGGCACCAAGAUGAAAAUAUUUGUAUUUUAUGUCAACACAGUCAUCAAAAGAUCAACUGAACAUAAUCCAUUUCAGACCCGUAAGACACAUUAAGUGAUGCCUAAUCUUCCUAUAGUUGCUUUGUAGUGAAGAACGGUGAUGUGCUCCUGCAUCCCGCAUAAAUAUCUGUACAAGGCAGUGGUUUUUAGUCCCUGUGAUUUAAAUAAUACCUUAUCUGUUCUGUCUAAAUAUAAGUUGGUUUGAAGUCUGCUAUUCUAACAAUAGUGACUAGACUUCUUAGAAAAUGUAUUGUUAGCUUGCUAGCCUAUCUCUAGGGUCACACAAAACCCAGCACUGUUGGGGGAAACCCCCCAAGCAUCUUUUCUGUUAUGUCACCAUAAACCCCUAGAUUCAAAAAUCCUAUUUACUCAAGAAUAUCAUGAGCAUAAAAAGCUAGAGCUAGAUGUCUUAGCAUCAGGGACACUCUUCAUUGCCACUGUUAAUGACCAUGAAUGUUUUCCAUGUGGCUGUUCAGUGUCAUGUUGACUACCCCAGGAUGAUAACACCGUUGCUAAGACAGAUUUCAUAUCACCUAUUCUGUUCCUGCUCAGCGUGCACAAGAGUGGAGUUUAAACCUUCAUUCAUUUCAUUUUUUUAAUGUUUCUUUUGUUCUCCUUAUCAUGUUCUGGCUUUCCCAAGGAUAUAUACUUUGAAUGAAGUCACAUAUGCAUUACUAAUUGUGUGCUAUUGUAUUUACAGUUCCUAGUGGUGGCACUGUGAAGCUACUAAUGCCUCUGCUUCACUUGAUGUAAAAUCGUCUUGAGUGUCUUUGAUAGCAGUGAAACAGUAUUAAUUGUUUUGUACAUUUCUUGGUCACUCUUCUUAGGUGGUCUUCAUAAUCUAUUAGAACUUUCAGCCAGAUUUUUGUAAUGUCAUGCCUCCAGCCGUGAUUAAAUUGGUAAUUAAUGAACAGUCUUUGGCAAUGUGAACCACAUCCUGUUAAUUUUCUCUUUUGAGUUUUUAGAAGUUGUCUUCUAUGUCAGAAAUCAUUGCACCACCUUGCUAUGGCCCCUUGGCAUGAAACCACAAUGACUUGAUUUUUGCAGCCAUUAGUAGAUCAGAGCAGUAAUUUCACAGUAUUUUGGUCAAGGCAAUUAUAGUACCCAAAACUGAGUAAAUGUGCAAAUUCAUGAAAGAGGUCCAGAAAUACCAGGUGAGGCUUCCUUGUGUGCACUGGGACGUUAUGAUUAGUUUAAUUGGUCCUUGUUUGAUUUCAGCCGCAUAGUCUGUCUGUGUCGCAGCAGAGCGGGGACUUUAUAUUUGACAGUCUCUGACCUCCUUUGACAUGGUCAGUGCAAAAUGAGGCCUUUGAAACAGCCCCCUUCCCAAAAGAGGUUUAGACUGCAUUUAAAAAUUAACCGUAGAAAAGAAAGUAGUCUAAUUAGUUUCUUGAUACUCUUAUUUCACACAUGCUUAGUAAGUCUAUUUC